GACGAACGCUGGCGGCGUGCCUACUACAUGCAAGUCGAGCGAAGCGGAUGAUGGGUGAGUAACGCGUGGGUAACCUGCACUUAAGUCUAGGAUACCACUUGGACACAGAUGUCAAUACCGGAUACUAAUGGAUGGACCAGCGAUGCAUUGGCUAGUUGGUAAGGUAAAGGGUUACCAAGGCGAUGAUGCAUAGACGGGUAGAGCAAAUGAUAGGGCACAAUGGGACUGAGAAAACGCCCAAAGUCCUAGGUGAGGCAGCAGUAGGGAAUAUGCCACAAUGGACGAAAGUGUGAUGGAGCAACGCCGCGUGAGUGAAGAAGGUUUGCGGAGCGUAACGCUCUGUUGUUGGUGCAGCGGUAAUCAACCAGAAAGUCCCGGCUAAAUCCGUGCCAGCAGCCGCGGUAAGAC
rnacentral:rRNA from 1 species